rnacentral:rRNA from 2 species
UACGUAGGUGGCAAGCGUUGUCCGGAAUUAUUGGGCGUAAAGCGCGCGCAGGUGGUUUCUUAAGUCUGAUGUGAAAGCCCACGGCUCAACCGUGGAGGGUCAUUGGAAACUGGGGAACUUGAGUGCAGAAGAGGAAAGUGGAAUUCCAAGUGUAGCGGUGAAAUGCGUAGAGAUUUGGAGGAACACCAGUGGCGAAGGCGACUUUCUGGUCUGUAACUGACACUGAGGCGCGAAAGCGUGGGGAGCGAACAGG